GCGUUAAUAUAUGACCCGAUUAGCAGCUUCCGGGAAACCAAAGUUUUUCGUUUCCGGGGGAAGUAUGGUUGCAAAGCUGAAACUUAAAGGAAUUGACGGAAGGGCACCACCAGGAGUGGAGCCUGCGGCUUAAUUUGACUCAACACGGGAAAACUCACCCGGCCCGGACACCGUAAGGAUUGACAGACUGAGAGCUCUUUCUUAAUUCGGUGGGUGGUGGUGCAUGGCCGUUCUUAGUUGGUGGAGCGAUUUGUCUGGUUAAUUCCGAUAACGAACGAGACUCUGGCCUAUUAAAUAGACGAUAUAUUUAAAAGUAUAUCGCGCUUCUUAGAGGGACAAGCGGCGUCUAGCCGCAUGAAAUAGAGCAAUAACAGGUCUGUGAUGCCCUUAGAUGUCCGGGGCUGCACGCGCGCUACACUGAAAGAAUCAGUGUGCGUUACGCCUAGUUCGGAAGAACCGGGUAACCCAAGUAAAUUCUUUCGUGCUUGGGAUAGGGAAUUGCAAUUAUUUCCCUUAAACGAGGAAUUCCCAGUAAAUGCGGGUCAUAAGCUCGCGUUGAUUACGUC
rnacentral:rRNA from 1 species